UUUUCUUCCCGGAAGUUUCGAGAAAACUCACCUUUAGCCUAAUUUGAAUAUUCCGGACAUUUUUCGUGUUUUGACUUUUUCGAUCCGGAGUACGGUUUUCCCCGGAGUCGGUCCGGCGGAGUUUUCGGGUAUUUUAAUUGUCGAUAAUUAUCCAGUUUGUCUCGAUAAACGUGAACCGAGAUAUUUUCUUCAUCCUUAUCAUGUAAUAAUUGCAGUGGGACCCGCAGACCAAUAAUUGAGUUAAAAAGCCCCGUUUUGAUGAUUAUCUUGAAAACUAGUACCGAUUGGACCCCACUUUCUUAAUAUAAAGCUAUUAAAUACGUAUUUUCAUGUCAUAAACGAUCCAAAGGGGAACCAAUUAUUUGUAAGUAUAAAUAUACCUUUCUAGAGCUUAUUUUCACCCGUAAAAUCAUUUCACCAGUUUCUCCGCACGAUAAUCGAGAGAAACCGAGCGGUGUUCUUCGUGUUCUUCAUAUUCAAACGAGGAUUUGAAGAUGUUAUUGGAAUCCGAUGGAGGCGUAUGAAUAGUCAAAACGAAGAUAUCGAUGCGUAGAAUCAAGUUUAAUCAUCUGUUUGUGUGCAGAUUCAACAGGUGAAUUGUUAUUAAUUUUACAAAUUUCGAAAUAUUAUGAGUUAAAUAGUGAAUUUUUGAAAACGUGUUUGUUUGAUUGUUUGGAUGAUUCCACGUUGUAGAGCAUGUUUUUCUCGUCGUUUUGGUAUAUUAUAUGUCAAAAACGGAGUUCGAUAACAUAUAGAAAAUGAGGUUUAAUCUUCAAAAGUCAUGUUCUUGGUGUUCUUGAGUAUUGGCCGGAAAAUUUUGAAUUCUUGCCGGAGAAUCACUUCGGCUUAACCUGGGUAGAUGUUAAAGCUAUAAAAAUGCUCCUGGAGAUGAGUAGAAUAUGUGUAUAUGAUCAUUUGUGGUGUUGGAGCCGUAAUGGAGGUGCCGGAAUCUGGAAAACGGACGUCGCCGGCGUCCGUUCUUCGGAUUUUUCCGGCUGAUUCGAGAGCUUCCAGCAUGAUUUAAGAGUGUAAUCAUGUUUUUGAGUGGUUGAAGGACAGAUCUGGAGUUUUUGGGGAUGUGGGGUGGCCGGGAACGCUAGUUCCGGCGAGAGCAGGGGUGGCCGGCGGCAAAUUGCCGUUUGGCCACCCAACUUACGAAAAUGGUGAAGUUUUGAUACUGGGGUUUCAAUUCUGACGAAUUGACCCCUGUAACUUUGAAAAGUUACACUUUACACCCUUGCCAGAAACUUUCAAAAACUUACAAAAUAAACCUUUUGAUUUAAUUUUUAAAAAUUGUUUUAUUUAAUUAUUUUAAAUUCCAAAAAUAGUUUUUAAUUAUUUCUUUAUUUAAAAAUAAAUCUAAAUUGAUUUAUUAAUUAAUUUUAAUUAGUAAUUAAUUAUUUUAAUUAGUCAAUUAAUUUAAAUAUUAAUUGAUUAAUUAUUUUAAUUAAUUAUUAAUUGAUUUUAAUUGAUUAAUUAAUUGGAUUUAAUUAAUCCUUUUUGAUUUAAAAAUUCCGAAAAAUAGUUUCGAGCUUUGAAAUAUUUUUCUAAAUUAUGUUCAAGGCUCGACAAUUGUUUAUGAAUAAUUUCAAGUCCAGUUUUGAGCAUCCGGACUUGAUUAUUUAUUUGAAAAAUGAUUCUUUUAUCCGUUUUAAUUCCGAAAAAAUGUUUAAAAAUUCCAGAAAAUUCCCGAAAAAUCAUUUUUAACCCAAGAGUUGAUUUGAUAUCAAUCGGGGUGGGAAACCUUAUGUGUAAUGUGUUGUCUGCUAUUGGUUGGAUGUGUUAUGUGCCGAUAGGAGAGUGAGAAAACUGUUUUGAGCAUAACUUUUGAUCCGUAAGUCGGAAUCAAGUGAAACGAAAGAGAGACAGAAGCUUAUAAAGUCUAGUUUGAUAUAACAUAAUAAUAUGAUGGAGUCGAGAAUGUGAAUAAUUGUUGUUAAAUGUGCACAAUGUGAUUAUAUGUUAAUUGAUUGCUAUUAAUUGAUGAUUACGUGAUAUACAUGUUUAUUCAUGAUAGUAUACAUGUGUGAUAAAAGAUUUGGAUGACAUAGUGUCGUGAGUUGAUUGAUAUUGGAUAAGAAGAUAUGGAUUAUAAUGAUUGGAUUUGGUUGGUUGAUUGUUGAUUGAGAUAGGAUAACAGGUGGAUAGUCUAAUAAAUAGACGAGAUGAUGUCGGAUUUUCGAUAGGAUUCAUAUGAUAAGUGAUUGGUAAUAUGUUAUGUGGAAUAUGACUUGACUAUAUGGUAGAGUCAAAGCAUGAUUACGUGUUAAGUGAUAUGUGAUAAGUUUAAAGGGGUAUAUAAGUGGGUAUCGAUAUACGUGAUAUGUAUAUGCGAUAUAUUGUUUAGUGACUAUAGUAUUAUCUUAUUCUCGUAAAGGAUUUGGACGAGACGUGUACGCUCGAAGACGUCAGAAAGUCGGAAUGGUAUUGCAAAGCGAAUAAGGGAUGAAUCGAGUAAGCGAAGCGAUGUGGCGAAUAGAGUAUAGCUAGAGAUGGUCUAGAGAUUACGAGAUGCAUAGAUUGUGAAAGUUGAAAGAUGAGAUUGAGCUGUGAGACUGGAGUCAGAUUUAAGGCAAGUAUCCUAAACCUUUCUCUUGGAUAUAUUGCAAAUAUUCUGAUCCAUUCCUUUGGUAUAUGUUUCAAGUAUUCAUACCUUUCUUUUCAAUGUUCGAAAGUGCGAGUAUUCUGACCCAUUCUUUCUAAUCUUCAAGUUUCUAAAGAAUUUCCGUUUUACAAAUUAAUUCGAAGUUCAGAUUGUCAUUGAAGCAUGUGUUGCUCAGUGAUAGUUAGAGCUUUGAAUGAAUUGGGAUCUUCUUGAUUAUUCAACCCGCCAUUGUCAUGCUGGUUUAGCAGGCUAAAUUCAGUUGCUUAGCCGAUAAUGGAGGAUACUGAAUAGUUGAGGAUUUCCUGAACUGUGAUUUAUGAAAUGAUGGAUCAUGAUUUAUGAAUAGAUUAUUAUCAAAGUUUGAAUUGGAAUUAUUCUGUUGUUGAUGAUAUUUAUGAUGAUGUUCUGUUAAUUUACAUUGGCUUCUUGAAUUGAAUUAGAGAAUUGGAUUAUUGUUUUUAUAUAAACCUGUGGACCAGAUUCGUGGUCAUGUUAGGCCAAUGAGUGCCUUGGAUCCAGUGAUAGAGCAUGGCGGGGCCUGCUCGGGGUUAGUGCGGAACUGAUCAGCUGCCUAACCUUGGUUUUAAUUAAAAUGUGAUAGUCCAAUUCAAUAAUUCUUUGGAAAGAUUGAAUUUCUCAGUUUAAAUGCUGCAAGGUAUUGUAAAUCAUUCUAUACAAUACCAUGAACUCAUGAACUCAGGUUGAAUCCUCUUAUAUCUUGAACUCGUGAACUUCUGUUAUAUCAUUUCAGAACUAUCAUUGUUUAUUAUUACUUGCUGAGCAUUGUUGCUCACCCUUGCUAUUCCUUUCUAACCAUUUCAGAAAGGCUUAAAGAUGAGAUGAUUGAUUGAGAUUGUGAGUAAGGCUAAUGCUAGGCGAGGAGACAGAGUUGAGGAUCCAGUGGUCGAGGAGUGUUCAGGAAAGUUGAUGAGGUUGGUGCAAGCUGGAAUAGUUGACAGUGAUUCUUCUUAUCGAAGAUGAUCUGAUUUGGUAAGAGAUGUUGUGUAAUAAUAGUGGUAGAUUCUAAUUUCAAUACUGUAACCUGGAUGCGAUCCUGUUGCUUUUAGGGGGUUUAAAUGUUCUCUUUCGAAUCAUUUAUUAAAGUUUAAAUGUUCUCUUGAAAUUCUCCUAUUAUGGCUUUCAAGUUUGAAAUUCAGGUUUUGAAAUCAUUCGAUUUAUGUUCUCAUUCAAAUCUUUUAUUAAAUGUUUUCAGGUUUUAAAUUCUCUGAUUUUAUUAUCUUUUGAAAAAAAAAAAAAAUUACAGGUUUUCGAAAGUGUUUACAAAUGGGUUUUAUGUGGUGACGUCAGAAUCCAGACCCCCGGAUUCUCGGGCUGUCACAGUUUGUAUCAGAGCAACAGGUUAUAAGUAUUUGAAAUUAGAAUAUAGAUCAUAGUUAUAGGUUUUCUAGAGAAGAAUGUGGUGUAACCUCACAUAGAGGUAUGGUCGGACUAUUUAGGAAUAGUCUAGAGAUGUGAGUGAAGCAUAGAGUUUAGUUAGAUGAUCAAGUUAAGUGUGGAUAUUUAAAGAGAUUAGGAUUCUUAAGUUUAGACAUAUGAUUUCUAGUAUGUUGAUUAAUUGAGAUGGUGAAUUGUGGAAAAGGUCAGUAUUAGACCUAUAUAGAAGAGUUUGAUAGUGAAUGAUUGAGUUGAGAAUGGUGAAAAUGCAGAGUUCAGAGUAUUCUGACUAUACUGCAUAUUUGAAAUUGGAUUAUUGUAUUGAUUUGAGGAUGAUAUAAAUGCAUGGUUCAUAGUAUGUUGACCAUGUCAGAUAUUUGGAAGAUGUAUAUUGUUUUGAGUGAAGAUAUGAAGAGUAAGUGUAGAGUAUGAGUUGUAUUGGAUUAGAAGGAGAGAUUGGUAGAUAGAGGUUGAUAGGUGAGAAGUGAAUGAUAGAGAGUACGUGGAAUUGAGUCCAGUUAUUAGAGAUGAUGUCUACGAGUAAGUUAGAACGUUAGUCCUCGACGACAACGCUUCGAGCUAAUCGGGAUUUCAAAUGGCAUCAAGGUGGGCCCAUAACCCACAGGUUGAUGAUCCAGACAAUCGAAGAUACGUUACGUGUUUGUGCUAUGGAUUUCAAAGGCAACUGGGAUAAAGUAGAAGAAUGUAAACUACAUGGGCCAGAGUUAUUACGGACGAUAACGUCUACGAUGACAUCUUACGAGGCUAUUACGAGUCAAAUCGAUUGAUCAUCAAGAACGUUGAAAAGAAGACAUAUAUCGUACAAUGAUUUAUUGAAGUAGAGUCGGAAUCUGAGAAGACCUUGGCAAUACCUCUCUUCAACUAAAGAUUCUUUUGAUUGUUUUCUCAUCAGUGAGAUAUUAUCAUGAUAUCUUUUCUACAAAAGUUUUGAUAAAUGAGAUCUUCAAUUUCUCAAAUUCUAAGAUGACAUUGAUAUUGAUUAUUGGUAUGAGUUGGAAAGCAAAGAUGUGUGAUAAAGGUUUGUUGUGAAGAGAUAGUGAUGUUCCUUGAUAUUGUUUGACAUUUCUUGACAUUCCUUGAUACCCUUUCAUCUUCCUUGAUAUCCCUUAGUGUUCUUUGAUAUUGUUGAUAUUCCUUGAUAUUCUCUGGUAUUCCUUAACAUUUCUUCAAUUUGAUUGGGAUGAACAACCCUAUUUAUAGGGGACACAAGGUAUACCUGUCUGUGUGAUAGGAGUUGGAUGGGACGCCAUCACUUGUGUGUGUUGUGAUUACAAGAAGGUUAACAACCUUUAGUAGUGUCUAAUAUGGACACGCAACAUUAAGUUCAUUUGAUCGUAUUGAUCUCCCAGUCACUCUUGUAUUCCAAUGUGACCUAUUUUGAAAACAUCUUGUUCCUCCGAAAUUCCCAAAGAUUGAUUCUUGGGAAAUGAAGUUUGCAAUUGUGAAGGUUUUGAUUCUCCUAUUUCUUUAACUUUGAAGGUAUGCCAAAGUUGAUCAAAGGCGGAUAAGCAUGUGAUAUUAUGAAGGCUGUACAAUGAUCUUAUAAAUGAUACGUUUUAGUUCUCAUCGCGGAUUCUGAGGACAGAAUCCUUAUAAGGGGGGUAGAAUGUAAUAUCCCAUGUUUUUAAAAUUAGUUUAUGAUUAUUAUAGAUCUAAUAUGUUGAUAUUAUUGUUGGCUUUAAUGGAAUAGUGACAUGAUUAUGUGAAUAGUGUGAAUGUGAUUAUUUUUGUUAUUUGGAUUAAUAUGGAUUUUACAGAUUUUGCGUCCUCCUUCUUUCUCUGAUUCCGAGGACGGAAUCCCUAUAAGGAGGGUAGAUUGUAAUAACCCGGAUUUUAAAAAUAUUUUUAUUAGUAUUAUAAGUGGUCUUCUUAAUAAGUAAGGAAUAAGAUUUAAUAUUUUAUUCCAGUUUAAGGAGUUUUCAAAAUUUUAUAUUAAACCCCGGGUUAUUGUGUUAUUGAUAAAUGAUUAUAUUUUUAAAACUGAUUUUCAUAUAUUGUUUCGAAAAUUCUAGAUGAUUAUUAUGUGAAUAUAUGUGUGAUGUGAGUAAGUGGUAUUGGUGGAUUUGUUGGUUAAUUAAUUAUGGUUAAUUAUGAGUAUUAUAUGAUUAAUAUAUGAAUUUUUGUGAAUUUUAUAUUAUCUGGUUUAUUGCGUUAACUGCUCAUAUGUGUUCGUAUUUGAGAGAUUUCAAUUUCUAUAUGCUCAGGAGAAAAUAUAGUUUAUUUGGAUAUUUUCAUAUCGAUUUAUGGAAUGUUAGAUGAUUUUAUAAUCGAUUUACGGAUUUAAUUGCGUAUAUUUAUAUUUAUUUAUUAAUUAUUUGACUUCCGUAAAACCGUCCACUCGUAACGAGGUAGCAAAUUUUCUUCCCGAAAGUUUCAACAAAACUGACCUUUAGCCUAAUUUGAAUAUUCCGGACACUUUUCGUGUUUUGACUUUUUCGAUCCGGAGUACGGUUUUCCCCGGAGUCGGUCCGGCGGAGUUUUUCGGGUAUUUUAAUUGUUGAUAAUUAUCCAGUUUGUCUCGAUAUACGUGAAAGCCAGAUAUUUUGAUUAUUAUAUUACUUUUUAUCGAAAUACGUGCAAAUGGGACCCCCAGACCAAUGAUUGAUUUAUAAUGCCCCGUUUUGAUGAUUAUCUCGAAAACCGGUACCGAUUGGACCCCGCUUUACUAAUAUAAAGCUAUUAAAUAUCGUAUUUUCAUGUCAUAAACGAUCCAAAGGGGUACCAAUUAUUUGUAAAUAUAAAUAGCCCUUUCUACACCUUAUUUUCAACCGUAAAUCAUUUCACCAGUUUCUUUUCACGAAUACCGAGAGAAACCGAGCUGCGUUCUUCGUGUUCUUCGUAAUCAAACGAGGAUUUGAAGGUGUUAUUGGAAUCCGAUGGAGGUGUAUGAAUAGUCAAAACGAAGCUAUCGACGCGUAGAAUCUAUUACUAUCAGUGGUUUCAGUGCAGAAUCGACAGGUUUUUGCUAAUUAAGGUUUUUAAUUUCGAAUUUAUAUGAUUUAAAUGAUGAAUUUUUGAAAACGUGAUUGUUUAAUUGUUUUGAUGAUUCUAUGAUGUAGAGCAUGUUUUUCUCGUCGUUUUGGUAUAUUAUAUGUCAAAAACGGAGUUCAAUAACAUGUAGAAAAGUCAGUUUGAUUAUUGAAACUGUUGUUCUUGGUGUUCUUGAGAAAGCUCGCCGGAAAAUUCUUGUUUUGGUCGGGAUUUUGAUUCGUUAAACCUGGGCAGAAGCUAAGCAUACCAUUGAAUAGAUCUUUGAGAGUAUAAUUGAGUGGUGGUGUCAGUUUGUUCAAAGGAGGCGAAACGAGUUCGCCGGAAAAUGGAGAAGUCGGCGGUGGCGCCGACCUUCAACCGGGUUUUACGGCAAAUUGGUGAAGUGCUUGUGAAAUCUGAAAAUACGAGUGGAUUGCUGGACAUCUGUAGAGUAUAUCUGCAGCUGGUGGUCGAGUUCUGGGCUCGAUGGAGCCUCCGGCGACGUCUCCGACGUCGUUCGGCGACGGUAGGGGGUGAUGACUGUAUAAUUACAGUUUAACCCCCGAACAAAUGAAGGUGGUGACUUUUAGUCACCCGAGUUUCAAAUCUUUCAAAACAAACCCUGAUACUUCGAAAACUUGCACUUUCAACCCUGCGUUUAAACUUUUGAAUAGUAACAAUUAAAACCUUUUCAAUUAUUUUUCAAAAAUUAUUUUUUUGGUCAUUUUUUUAUAGUUUUUAAUUAUUUCUUUAUUCAAAAACAAAUCGAAAUUAGUUUAUUAAUUAAUUUCAAUUGGUAAUUAAUUAUAUUAAUUGAUCAAUUAAUUUAAAUAUUAAUUGAUUAAUUAAUUUAAUUAGUUAUUAAUUGAUUUUAAUUGAUUAAUUAAUUGGAUUUAAUUAUCCUUUUUGAUUUAAAAAUUCCGAAAAAUAGUUUCGAGCUUUAAAAUAUUUUUCCAAAUCAUGUUCAAGGCUCGACAAUUGUUUAUGAAUGAUUUCAAGUCCAGUUUUGAGCAUCCGGACUUGAUUAUUUAUUUGAAAAAUGAUUCUUUUAUCCGUUUUAAUUCCGAAAAUGUUUAAAAAUUCCAGAAAAUUCCCGAAAAAAAAUCAUUUUUAACCCAAGAGUGAUUUGAUAUCAAUUGGGGUGGGAAACCUUAUAUGUAAUGUGUUAUCUGCUUUGUGUGUGAUGUGUUAUAUGUUGAUAGUGGAGUCAGAAAACGGCUUAGAUCAUAACUUUUGAUCUGUAAGUCGGAAUCAAGUGAAACGAAAGAGAGAUAGAAGCUCGUGAAGUCUAUUUUAAUAUGACAAGAUAAUAUGAUUGAAUCUAGAAUGUGAUUAUAUGCUAUGUAAUAUGCAAUAUGUAACCAUACGUGAUUUGUUUGUUAUGAAUUGAUGAUUACGUGAUAUAUGUGGUUAUUCCUAAUAUAGUACAUAUGUGAUAAAUGACUUAUAUGACAUAGUGUCAUGAUUUGAUAAGAACAUAUGGAUUAUAGGAAUUGGAAUUGGUUGAUUGGUUGUUGGUUGGGAAUAGGUUGACAGGUGGAUAGUCUUAUAACUAGACAAGAUGCUGGCAGAUUUUCGAUAUGAUUUAUAUGAUUAUUGAUUAUAACAUGUUAUGUAGAAUAUGACUUGACUAUAUGAUAAAGUCAAAGAAUGAUUAUGUGCUAAGUGAUAUGUGAUAAGUUUAAAGGGGUAUAUAAGUGGGUAUCGAUAUACGUGAUAUGUAUAUGCGAUAUAUUGUUUAGUGACUAUAGUAUUAUCUUAUUCUCGUAAAGGAUUUGGACGAGACGUGUACGCUCGAAGACGUCAGAAAGUCGGAAUGGUAUUGCAAAGCGAAUAAGGGAUGAAUCGAGUAAGCGAAGCGAUGUGGCGAAUAG
rnacentral:lncRNA from 1 species